UACACGACCGUACCGCAAACCGACACUGGUGCGCGAGAUGAGUAUUCUAAGGCGCUUGAGAGAACUCAGGAGAAGGAACUCGGCAAAUUGACACCGUAACUUCGGAAGAAGGUGUGCCUUUAGUAGGUGAACCUGUACAAGGGGAGCCCAAUGAGGUUGCAAAAAAUCGGUGGCUGCGACUGUUUAAUAAAAACACAGCACUCUGCAAACACGAAAGUGGACGUAUAGGGUGUGACGCCUGCCCGGUGCUGGAAGAUUAAAUGAUGGGGUGCAAGCUCUUGAUUGAAGUCCCAGUAAACGGCGGCCGUAACGAUAACGGUCCUAAGGUAGCGAAAUUCCUUGUCGGGUAAGUUCCGACCUGCACGAAUGGCGUAACGAUGGCCACACUGUCUCCUCCUGAGACUCAGCGAAGUUGAAAUGUUUGUGAUGAUGCAAUCUCCCCGCGGAAAGACGGAAAGACCCCAUGAACCUUUACUGUAGCUUUGUAUUGGACUUUGAACAGAUCUGUGUAGGAUAGAUGGGAGGCUUUGAAGUGUGGUCGCUAGAUCGCAUGGAACCAACGUUGAAAUACCACCCUGGUGUGUUUGAGGUUCUAACCUAGGCCCGUAAUCCGGGUCGGGGACAGUGCAUGGUAGGCAGUUUGACUGGGGCGGUCUCCUCCCAAAGCUAACGGAGGAGUUCGAAGGUACGCUAGGUACGGUCGGACAUCGUGCUAAUAGUGCAAUGGCAUAAGCGUGCUUAACUGCGAGACUGACAAGUCGAGCAGAUGCGAAAGCGACAUAGUGAUCCGGUGGUUCUGUAUGGAAGGGCCAUCGCUCAACGGAUAAAAGGUACUCUGGGAUAACAGGCUGAUACCGCCCGAGAGUUCAUAUCGACGGCGGUGUUUGGCACCUCGAUGUCGGCUCAUCUCAUCCUGGGGCUGUAGCCGGUCCCAAGGGUAUGGCUGUUCGCCAUUUAAAGAGGUACGUGAGCUGGGUUUAAAACGUCGUGAGACAGUUUGGUCCCUAUCUUCCGUGGGCGCUCAGAUUUGAGGAAGCCUGCUCCUAGUACGAGAGGACCGGAGUGGACACACCUCUGGUGUAUCGGUUGUCACGCCAGUGGCAUUGCCGAGUAGCUAUGUGUGGAAGAGAUAACCGCUGAAAGCAUCUAAGCGGGAAACUCGUUUCAAGAUGAGAUCUGCCGGGGCCUUGAGCCCCCUAAAGAGUCGUUCAAGACCAGGACGUUGAUAGGUCGGGUGUGGAAGCGCAGUAAUGCGUUAAGCUAACCGAUACUAAUUGCUCGUGCGGCUCGACCAU
rnacentral:rRNA from 1 species